AGGAUUAACGCUGGCGGAGUGCCUAACACAUGCAAGUCGAGCGGCAGCGCGAGUAGUUUACUACUUGGCGGCGAGCGGCGGACGGCUGAGUAACGCGUGGGAACGUGCCCCAAAGUGAGGAAUAACUGCCCGAAAGGGUAGCUAAUGCCGCAUAUGAUCUUCGGAUUAAAGGAUUUAUCCGCUUUGGGAGCGGCCCGCGUCAGAUUAGGUAGUUGGUGAGGUAAAGGCUCACCAAGCCGACGAUCUGUAGCUGGUCUGAGAGGAUGACCAGCCAGACUGGAACUGAGACACGGUCCAGACUCCUACGGGAGGCAGCAGUGAGAAUCUUACCACAAGUGGGGGAAACCCUGAUGGAGCAACUCCGCGUGCAGGAUGAAGGCCUUACGGGG
rnacentral:rRNA from 1 species